rnacentral:tRNA from 2 species
UUCAAGUCCCUCUAUCCCCAUCCCCA